CGGGGCGUAGCGCAGUUGGUUUAGCGCGCUUGGUUCGGGACCAAGAGGUCGCUGGUUCGAAUCCAGUCGCCCCGA
rnacentral:tRNA from 1 species